CACUUGGCCGCGGGCAGCCCCCAUACAACAUGUUUAGAAAACAACUUAGCACUAUCUUGUAAUGUCAGAUAUUUGCCCUGAGAACCUGUAAUUUCUCCCUUCAGUACACUUAGAAAAAUUCUUGUAGGUGUACCGCAGUAAACGUGGAUAACCAUAUUCAUGGGGAUUCUGGGGAGCAGCAGCCGUGCUGGUGUAACUGUUUAAUCUCUCCAAAUCCCGCAGAAGGAUACACACAGCAGCCAGGAUUGCAAACUAAAACCCCACAGGCAAUGACUGCGACAAACUAGAUGACACAGAUCCCACAAACCCUGAAACCCCAGUGGAUGGAGACACACCCACGAGACCUGCAGCCGCCGCCGCUGUGUCAGAGGAAGCCGGAGGGAGCAAUGGCCCUCCUCACAAACCUAGGGACCCCAGAUAACGACAGUGAGUCACGGAAAAGCCAGCGGGCCAAGCGGAGAAGCGCGCCCGUCGCCAGGAGGGAGGCGCGUACUCCGCCAGCAACUGGGGACAAGGGGCGGACCCGGCCUAGGAAACCCUCAGAACUGACCAGCCCAGGCUCCCAUCCAGGACGAACCCCAGCUGAGGAGUAACUGCUGGAAGAGAAUCCAAAUGGAGCAGGGCUGAGAUAGGAAACCACCUUCUUGCCCUUGGGAGAAUUCUUCUAAGUCCCUCCGAAAGAGCGUCCACUUCCGAGGUUCUUUCCUUGUGGAUGAGCACAGGAGGAGCCGUGAAAGCUGAACACCUUAGGCUGAACGCUUUGACUGUCAGCUAACGGCCUCCAAGGCUGACAUGACAGAUGGACAAGCCUACCCACUAAGCACAGUCACCGACAGACGCCCGGCCCUCUCCGCCCUCGCUCUUG
rnacentral:lncRNA from 1 species